rnacentral:tRNA from 1 species
GGGCGGAUGGUUUAGUGGUAUAAUACUCCCUUAGCAUGGAUCCCCCUAAUAGGGUCUGAUCUGGGAGUGGUCCGGGGUUCGAUUCCCCGUUCGUCCA